AAUGAACGCUGGCGGCAUGCCUAACACAUGCAAGUCGAACGAGACCACCGGGAGAACUGGCGCUUGCGUGCGUCGAGCGGCGGAACGUUCCCUUAUGUACGGAAUACUACUUUGUCGGGGGUGCUAACAUAGGAAAACUUACUCGAAUAAAAGAUUCAUCGCCUUUGGAUGGGCCGGCGUUGGAUUAGCUAGUCGGUAGGGUAAAAGCCUACCAAGGCGACGAUCCAUAGCUGGUCUGAGAGGAUGAUCAGCCACACUGGGACUGAGACACGGCCCAGACUCCUACGGGAGGCAGCAGUGGGGAAUAUUGGACAAUGGGCGAAAGCCUGAUCCAGCAAUGCCGCGUGAGUGAUGAAGGCCUUAGGGUUGUAAAGCUCUUUUACCCGGGAUGAUAAUGACAGUACCGGGAGAAUAAGCUCCGGCUAACUCCGUG
rnacentral:rRNA from 1 species